rnacentral:ncRNA from 1 species
ACGGCGGGUCCGAAAAGCCGAUGAUAGAGUAGGAA